AAAUUUCCAAAACUUGAAAGAAAACAUUGGUAUGAACAGUCUCACUAAUAGUGAACAGGAUGAUAUUUGGCAACCAGUUGUAAUUGUUCAGAACAAAAUAGAAAAUUCAAUUGUCUACGAGGAAUCUAUUCUAAUUAUUCCUAAAAAUAUAACAAGGUUUAUCCCGUCAGGCAUUGAACACUUUCAAAAUUACUUCAUUUAUACUGGAAAAGAAGUCCUAGUAAGGAAAAAUACAACCUUUAGUUCAAAGCUUGCAUGUGAAUUUAAUCUACGCUGGUUCCCAUUCGAUGAACAGUAUUGCACCAUUGAUCUUCUACUCACAGAUAAACAGAAGAAGUUGGUUGAGCUGGAACCAGGGAGAGUGGGAUACCAUGGAUCUGAUAGUAUUGCAGAUUAUCUAGUUGAGUCUAUAACCAUGUGUAGGUUUCAGUUCUUAGGAAGAGAGGGGAUACGAAUAGAGAUAAAGCUGGGUAGACAACUAAUCUCAUUCUUUGUGAUCUCAUGUCUGCCAACUCUUAUCAUGAACUUCAUAGCCCACCUUACCAACUUCUACAGUGACGAACAUUUUGAUGUCUCCAUUACUGUAAAUCUGACUGUGCUCCUUGUCUUGACAAACAUGUAUGUACAUAUAUAUAAUUUUAUAGGGAUAAAUAUUUAUUGUUGAUAGAAGAGUACAUAUUUUCUUUAAACAAUUAAUUUCUUUCCCUGUCCUUUCUCCCUAAAUAUAUUACAUAUUCUUUUAACAUUAGAAAAUUUUUGUACAGAGCUUAAGUAUUUAAGAAGCACGCAAAUUAAAUCCAAUUUUACCCUUCCCCCGCGAGCUAUAAGAAAAUGGGUUAAUUCUUAAAGAUGUAUACCCCUUGCACUAAUGGUCAAUGCCAUUCUAUUGCAUUGGGAUUCAAAGUCCAAGCAUUAAAAGUUUUUUUUACAAUUUAAAAAAUAAUAAUUUUGUAUAAUAAGGUAUAUUGGAUCAAAGACAGGAUAUAUGAAGAUGAUUGAUAUUUGGAUGCUGUUUAGUGUUCUUGUAACUUUCUUGGAAGUUUUGAUUCAGACAUAUUCUAACUCCCUUAGAAAGAAUUUGGUCGCAAUACAACCAGAGCUGACUCUGAGAAGUAACAGGAAGGAUAUAAUUGAUACAGGGAACCAGAAAAUCCUGGUGGCUAGAUAUUUGACGAUGUAUAUAAAACCUACAAUAUUUGUUCUAUU